UGGUGUCAGAAUUGGAACAUGAAGUAGAACUUCCAGUAACCCCUAGGAGCAUCAAGUGACCCAGAGAGGUAACCCCCUCCACCAGGGUCCAUUGCAUCCAUUGCUCUCUCACAGCAACUGAGGCUCAUGGGACUGGAGUGGAGUCGGUAGGAAGGAACAGUCUUUGAAGUUAGAUGCGCCAGGUUGUAACCCCACUUCCACCAAUUGUGGUAACUUUGUGAGACAAGCCUCAAAUUUUACCACUGUACCAAGAAAUGAAAGCCAGAAUGUGGAAUUGGAGCUGGUAAUGACGACGUCAGGACAGGUUCAAAGGAAGCCCAUCACUUGAGUAAAAAUUUAUAGCCCUGCUUGUGCUGUGCUGUGCUGUGCUGUGAGUUUCAGUUCCGGGCCAGCAAAAGAUUUAUCAAAGGAAAGCAACAAGGUGUGUGGAAAUAGAAGGUAAGAAAAAUUAAUUUCAGAGAGGAAAAUAAAGUUGCUUGAGGUAGGAUAUUUCAAACCUUGGAUUCUAACCUGGCUCUAACUGACUCAAAGAAAGGGGCUCUUCAAUGACCAAAGGCCAUAAGAGACUGGAAGGCAAAAGGACCCAUUAAUGUAAUCCAAACAUCAGUCUCCUGCAGCAAAGAGGUGAAUGGAGAAGGGUGGAGAGUAGCUGUGGACGAGUGAAAAAGACAUCGCACCAUGUCUUCAAAUUACAUCCAGCAACUUCAUAUGAACUAUGAAACCCUUGUUGCCACAAUAGUCCCUCUUUGUUUGAACUACUACAAGAAUAAAGAAAUUUCUUUCUAAUCUUUUGCAGAAGAAUUACAUAGACUCUCACUUACUGCUCUUGUUUCAUAGGUGGCUGAUUUUCCAAUUAUAUUAAAUACUUUUGGAAGGGCUGGGACUACAUCUAAUUUCUUGAAAAGUCUGGUGCUGUGGAAGACCAAGACCCAGACUGUUGAGGUCAGCCUAAUGUAAUGUGAAAUAUCUAAACUCUGCGUACUUCUUUACCAUGAGUGUAUAGAUAAAAUAUCAUUGCAUUUAAGGAAAUUGCUUAAAGCCUCACAGUGAAUAAAGUUGACAAAACAUGUAGACUUAUUGCAGAUUUUAUGCAUUUAGGUUUUAUGGCUUCAUUUGCAAUCAGGACUCCCCUCCCCUCCCUUCCUCCCUUCCUUCCCUUCCCUUCCCUGUCCUUCUUUCUUUCCUUUCCUUCCCCUUCCUUCCUUCUCCUCGUCCUGUUU
rnacentral:lncRNA from 10 species